UACGUAGGGGGCUAGCGUUGUCCGGAUUUAUUGGGCGUAAAGAGCGUGUAGGCGGCCAGGUAGGUCUGGUGUGAAAACUCGAGGCUUAACCUCGAGAUGUCAUCGGAAACCAUCUGGCUAGAGUCCGGAAGAGGAGAGUGGAAUUCCUGGUGUAGCGGUGAAAUGCGCAGAUAUCAGGAAGAAUAUCCGUGGCGAAGGCGGCUCUCUGGGACGGUACUGACGCUGAGACGCGAAAGCGUGGGGAGCGAACAGG
rnacentral:rRNA from 1 species